CCUACGGGGGGCAGCAGUGGGGAAUAUUGGACAAUGGGCGAAAGCCUGAUCCAGCCAUGCCGCGUGUGUGAAGAAGGCCUUCGGGUUGUAAAGCACUUUCAGUGGGGAAGAAAGCCUUGGGGCUAAUACCCUCGAGGAAGGACAUCACCCACAGAAGAAGCACCGGCUAACUCCGUGCCAGCAGCCGCGGUAAUACGGAGGGUGCGAGCGUUAAUCGGAAUUACUGGGCGUAAAGCGCGCGUAGGCGGUCUGAUAAGCCGGUUGUGAAAGCCCCGGGCUCAUCCUGGGAACGGCAUCCGGAACUGUCAGGCUAGAGUGCAGGAGAGGAAGGUAGAAUUCCCGGUGUAGCGGUGAAAUGCGUAGAGAUCGGGAGGAAUACCAGUGGCGAAGGCGGCCUUCUGGACUGACACUGACGCUGAGGUGCGAAAGCGUGGGUAGCAAACAGGAUUAGAUACCCUAGUAGUC
rnacentral:rRNA from 1 species